rnacentral:lncRNA from 1 species
GCAAUUCCAGAAAAGACGGACACGCCCACGGCCAGGUAGAGCAGCAGGAUGCCCACCUCCCGGUAGCUGUGCUGCAGGUACAACAAGCAGAGCCGUUAGCCAGACGCGAAGAACGGCCCAAACCUGAGAUCCAAAUAUUCAACCAAAGUGUCCCUCUGGGGGCAUUGAAACGGGAUAAAUGUCCACUGCUGGCCACGCCCACGCCAUAGGAGCAUCAGCUGAAACCUGCAGAGCGAUCACACCUGUGGAUCUUUAGUCAGUUUAACUCCUUUAGGUCACCACAGGUGGAGGUUCAAGUCCCCCGUUGAACCGAAACAGGAGCAUCUGUGAAGAAGCCGUGUGGAUCAGAGGAACACGUCUGACUGCUGGUUAGACUUUUCAUCUGCAGCUAAUGAACAGACGUGACUUCCUCUGCUUUUCUAGACGUCACAUCACAUCCAUCUGAUGACCACCUACAAACAUGUCAGGCAUGUGAGAAACACAACCGUCUGAUAACAGAAGAACCCGGGAAGUCAGCUAAUGAGGAAGGCGGCAUCUUCCCGCCGCCGCUGCACUAAUGAAGGCGUCUGAAGGGCGGGAAGCAUCACAGACGCUUUGUGAAAGUCCAAGAACCCAUGUUGCUGCUCGGGGAAACUCCACAUGAGGCCUGAGGCCAUCAAAGGAGGCGCUGACGGCCAAAACAACCCCACACAUGAAGCCGUUCUGCUGCUGGGGAGGGGGGCUGACCUGGAUGAGUCGGCCCAGGUUCCCCAGCUCGGACUCGGAGCCCAGAGUCACGUCGAACACCAGGGUGAUGUAGAUGGGAACCACGGACACCAAGUCGAUGAUGUUCAGCGGAUGGCGGAAAAACUUCCUCCUGUUCGGCGCCAGCAGCAGCCGCGUCCCCACCUCCAAGACACACAGACGCCGUUUUCACAGGCAGCCAUCUUUACCGCCGGUGGCGCCGGCCGCCGCCAUCCUCACCUCGAAGGAGAACCAGCAGAUGCAGAAGACCUCCAGGGCCUGCAAGGUCGGGUCUUCCAUCAACUUCCCGUCCGAGUCGAAGGUCUGAAAGGAACCAGAAACCAACCGGAUGAAACCGCCGCCGUCCUGCCGGCGCAGCAGAACCGCCUUGUUCCGGUCCAGGGACUUCAGGGAGUUCUCCUCUGA